rnacentral:rRNA from 1 species
AUUGAACGCUGGCGGCAUGCCUAACACAUGCAAGUCGAACGGCAGCACAGUAUGUAGCAAUACAUAUGGGUGGCGAGUGGCGGACGGGUGAGUAACGCGUAGGAAUCUACCCUAAAGCGGGGGACAACCCGAGGAAACUCGGGCCAAUACCGCAUAAUCUCGAAAGAGUAAAGCUGGGGCAACCUGGCACUUUAGGAGGAGCCUGCGUCCGAUUAGCUAGUUGGUGAGGUAAAGGCUCACCAAGGCGAUGAUCGAUAGCUGGUCUGAGAGGAUGAUCAGCCAAACUGGGACUGAGACACGGCCCAGACUCCUACGGGAGGCAGCAGUGGGGAAUAUUGGACAAUGGGGGCAACCCUGAUCCAGCAAUACCGCGUGUGUGAAGAAGGCCUUAGGGUUGUAAAGCACUUUAGUUGGGGAAGAAGGAUAGUUGUUUAAGAGAUGAUUAUUUUGACGGUACCCAAAGAAUAAGCACCGGCUAACUCUGUGCCAGCAGCCGCGGUAA